AGUGCACGCUGGCGGCGUGCCUAAUACAUGCAAGUCGAACGGAGUGGCGCACGGGUGAGUAAUAUAUAGCUAAUCUGCCCCUUGCUGGAGGACAACAGUUAGAAAUGACUGCUAAUACUCCAUAGCAAGGGAUGAGACUAUAUCGUAUCAGCUAGUCGGUGGGGUAACGGCCUACCGAGGCUAUGACGCGUAACUGGUCUGAGAGGAUGAUCAGGCAAAUGGGAACUGAGGAACGGUCGAAACACCUACGGGAGGCAGCAGUAGGGAAUAUUGCGCAAUGGGGGAAACCCUGACGCAGCAUCGGCGCGUGGAGUAUUACACUUUUCGGAGCGGAAACUCCUUUUGUUAGGGAAGCGGUACCUAACGAAUAAGCACCGGCUAACUCCGUGCCAGCCGCCGCGGUAAUAC
rnacentral:rRNA from 1 species